rnacentral:rRNA from 1 species
GUGGGGAAUUUUGGACAAUGGGCGCAAGCCUGAUCCAGCAAUGCCGCGUGCAGGAAGAAGGCCUUCGGGUUGUAAACUGCUUUUGUACGGAACGAAACGGUCCUGGUUAAUACCUGGGGCUAAUGACGGUACCGUAAGAAUAAGCACCGGCUAACUACGUGCCAGCAGCCGCGGUAAUACGUAGGGUGCGAGCGUUAAUCGGACUUACUGGGCGUAAAGCGUGCGCAGGCGGUGCUGUAAGACAGGCGUGAAAUCCCCGGGCUCAACCUGGGAAUUGCGCUUGUGACUGCAGUGCUGGAGUACGGGAGAGGGGGAUGGAAUUCCGCGUGUAGCAGUGAAAUGCGUAGAUAUGCGGAGGAACACCGAUGGCGAAGGCAGUCCCCUGGGCCUGUACUGACGCUCAUGCACGAAAGCGUGGGGAGCAAACGGGAUUAGAAACCCGAGUAGUCC